rnacentral:tRNA from 1 species
GGACUUAGGUUAAACACACAAACCAGUAACCUUCAAAGCUACAAAUAAGAGCCCGAACCUCUUAGUCCCUG